AUUAUGAAAAUAUUGUAGAAAUCUCUUUAUAUAUGAUGCAGUCUUUCACUAAUUUUUGGUUGUGUUUUUUCUUUUUAAAUUCAUUAAUUAUCAAGAUCGCCACGGUUCUUGUAAGUCUGAUACCACCUAGGACUAGACAGCCUCCAUAGCUUAUGAACUCCUAAGCGGCGCUUAAGCUUUAAAGAUCCCUUCUUCGAAGACUUCUUAGAAGGAAUCUCAGAAAAAGCCAAACCAGUUUCAGCUUCAACCCAACAAUCCCCUUGAAUGCUCAAUCUUCCCUUAGAUUCAUUGAAGACGACAAAAUGAUAUAUAAGACAACGUGACCCAACAAAGUUAACAAAAAUUUGGGGCUUUGUUGAUUUGAAAACUCAUGCAGAGUUUUUGGGAUAGAAACAAAAGGAGAAAAAGUGGUAAAAGAGAGGGAUGUAGACAAAUCAAGGAACAAAGGUAGGGUUUAAGAUGUUUUUGACUCUAAAUUUUAUUGGAUGUAACUUGUCCUUUCAUCAUUUCCAUGUUUUCCUUUUCUCACUAAUUUAAAUUUCGGUUUUGGAAUUUAUGGUGAUGUUAAUCUACUCUCCUCUUUUGGAUUUUGCCACUCAUGUCCCCUCUCAAUUCCCUUAAAGUUUAGAAUAUAAAUGCAAUACAAAUUUUGUUACUAUUAUAUUUAUAAUUUCCAUAUACUGUAUAUGCUUUUGCUGGCCAUGAAAGAAUCCUCUUUAAAUAUAAAUUGGGUUUAUU
rnacentral:lncRNA from 1 species